CACAGCUAAGGACACUGCAAUCAGAUGACACAGCCUCAUCUAUCUCAACCUAGGCUAGCACUUUCUAUGGCUCCAGAUUAGUAAGAAGCCCCCAUUAGGCAUGGUCCUGUCCCACUGAAGGGCACCCAGGUGAUGAAGACUCAGACUCAUUCAUUCAUCUGCCCCACCCCCUCCACUCCCCACCCAUCUGGCCAUCCAUCCAUUCAUCUAUACCCCACGUGCCCCCCCAUCCUGUCAUUCAUCCAUUCCUCCCUCUCUCCCUCCUUUACUUCUCCAUCUUUAUCAUCUUUUGAGCCCCUGUUGCUUUCCUGGAUCCAGUGGGCUCAGCCACCCAUUGGCCGUGUUGGCUUAGUUCCAAGUGCUGACCAACCACCCCAGUUUCAGAGACGGAGAUGGGAAGCCGGGAGGCCUUGUCACUGGGCACAGAGGCUGAACUGCCCAAUAGCCUGCCGGGAGAUGACCAGGAUGAGUGCCUGAUGCUCCCUGGGGAGCUUUGCCAGCAUCUUUGCAUCAACACUGUUGGCUCCUACCGCUGUGCCUGCUUCCCUGGAUUCGAGCUGCAGGGUGAU
rnacentral:lncRNA from 1 species